rnacentral:miRNA from 1 species
UCCUUCAGAAAGAUGCAAUCAUU